rnacentral:misc_RNA from 1 species
AUAGUUUCCACAACGCUGAGGGGACGAAAGACCCAUCCGGUCGAUUUGAGGCGCGCGGCGGACCGCGUCGCCCAAUACCAAGCGAGGCUUGAGUGGUGAAAUGACGCUCGAACAGGCAUGCCCCCCGGAAUACCAGGGGGCGCAAUGUGCGUUCAAAGAUUCGAUGAUUCACUGAAUUCUGCAAUUCACAUUACUUAUCGCAUUUCGCUGCGUUCUUCAUCGAUGCCAGAACCAAGAGAUCCGUUGUUGAAAGUUUUAAUUGAUUUUUAAAAUUUACUCAGACUGCAAAGUUACGCAAGAGUUUGAGAUGUCCACCCGGGGCCCCCGCCCGGAGGCAGGGUCGCCCCGGAGGCAACAGAGUCGGACAACAAAGGGUUGUGAACAUCCCGGCCCGAGGGCCGGGGUCAACUUGUAAUGAUCCCUCCGCAGGUUCACCUACGGAA